rnacentral:rRNA from 1 species
CCGUUCAAUACUGCGGAGCUCGAGGGCAGAAGAGGGGGGUGGAAUUGCCGGUGUAGUGGUGAAAUGCGUAGAUAUCAGCAGGAACACCUGUGGCGAAAGCGGCCCCCUGGUCUGCUCCUGACACUCAGACGCGAAAGCUAGGGGAGUGAACGGGAUUAGAAACCCCGGUAAUCCUAGCCGUAAACGAUGGAUGCUAGGUGUGGGUGGUAUUGACCCCAUCCGUGCCGAAGCCAACGCGUUAAGCAUCCCGCCUGGGGACUACGGCCGCAAGGUUAAAACUCAAAGGAAUUGACGGGGACCCGCACAAGCAGCGGAGCGUGUGGUUUAAUUCGAUGCUACACGAAGAACCUUACCCAGGUUUGACAUGCAGGUAGUAGUGAAGCGAAAGCGGAACGAUCCUUCGGGAAGCCUGCACAGGUGCUGCAUGGCUGUCGUCAGCUCGUGCCGUGAGGUGUUUGGUUAAGUCCACUAACGAGCGCAACCCCUGUCGUCAGUUACAUGUGUCUGGCGAGACUGCCGGUCUUAAACCGGAGGAAGGUGGGGAUGACGCCAAGUCAGCAUGGCCUUUAUAUCUGGG